rnacentral:rRNA from 1 species
AGUGAACGCUGGCGGUAGGCCUAACACAUGCAAGUCGAACGGCAGCACAGUAAGAGCUUGCUCUUACGGGUGGCGAGUGGCGGACGGGUGAGGAAUACAUCGGAAUCUACUUUUUCGUGGGGGAUAACGUAGGGAAACUUACGCUAAUACCGCAUACGACCUACGGGUGAAAGCAGGGGAUCUUCGGACCUUGCGCGAUUGAAUGAGCCGAUGUCGGAUUAGCUAGUUGGCGGGGUAAAGGCCCACCAAGGCGACGAUCCGUAGCUGGUCUGAGAGGAUGAUCAGCCACACUGGAACUGAAACACGGUCCAGACUCCUACGGGAGGCAGCAGUGGGGAAUAUUGGACAAUGGGCGCAAGCCUGAUCCAGCCAUACCGCGUGGGUGAAGAAGGCCUUCGGGUUGCAAAGCCCUUUUGUUGGGAAAGAAAAGCAGCAGGUUAAUACCCCGCUGUUCUGACGGUACCCAAAGAAUAAGCACCGGCUAACUUCGUG